GUGUCCCCCCACUGUGCUCCCGCGGGCACCCAGCUGCAGCCAGCAGCGUCUCGGAUGAAGCACCAGUGCCACUCAGCAGUGAGCAGGAAAACAGACCAUGACCAGCACUAAUGAAAGUUUAAUCACGAUGUGGCAGCGGGAGGUGACGGUGAGCCUGGGGCCACAGCUCUGAUGGGCGAGCAGGGAGCCGGGCACCCUGGGCACCCCGGGGCGCAGGCAGCGCUGGACGAGAUCUGCAACAAAAUUUCAGAUCUAAACAAAUGGAGAGAAAUCUUUCAUUUCCGUGGUUUGGAAAUCAGUACUACUACUCAUCAGGCCUGAUUUAAGCAGAAAUAUCCCCAGUUGCUGUUAGCCUGUUAGUGUUGAAGGGGGCUGUAAAGGAAAACCUGGCUGCGCAGGGCCCAUCCCCACAGCCAGCAGUGGAAUGUGGUGCACGGCAGAGCCAAAAGCAGCGCGCUGCGGCAGUGGCGGGGAAGGAGGCGAGCAGGGGGUGAGCACACAGGGCACGGGUAGUGUGGGGACUGGUGGGGUGAGGGGACGAAGCUGCUGCCACCAGGCACCGUGGGCAGUCCUGCUGCUGCCCCUCGGCCCCGUGUGCCAUCAUCUGUGCUUGUGCUGGGGGCUGGAAACCCUGGGAGCGCGCCAGGAGCCAGCCGUCUCCGAACACCUGCCCCUCUCUCCCUUCCUCCAGGGACGCCCGGGCUGCAGGACAGAUGGAGGGCACGGACCAGGUGGUG